UACGGAGGGUGCGAGCGUUGUUCGGAAUCACUGGGCGUAAAGGGCGUGUAGGCGGUCCGCUAAGUCUGAUGUGAAAGCCCGGGGCUCACCCCCGGAAGUGCAUUGGAAACUGGCGGACUCGAGUCCCGGAGAGGAGAGUGGAAUUCCUGGUGUAGCGGUGAAAUGCGUAGAGAUCCGGAGGAACACCAGUGGCGAAGGCGACACGCUGGGCCGUACCUGACACUGAGCCGCGACAGCAUGGGGAGCAAACAGG
rnacentral:rRNA from 1 species